rnacentral:lncRNA from 10 species
AAACAGUGUGCUCCUCAUCUUCAUUCACCCAACAUUUCUACAUCAGUGAAAUGAGAAGUUAGGAAAGGAGGUGGUGAAAUUAGAUUGCCUGAAUUUGCAUGUUAGCUCUGCCACUUUAUUAACGUCAAUUAACAGUUUAUUAACAGUCAGUUAACACUAUUAAUAAAGUAGCAGAGGCAAGAUGCAAAUUCAGACAAGAACUGGAUAUGUUAUUUUACCACUCUGUUCCCUAUCUCUAAAAUGAGGAUAAAACUUUGAAAGGUUACUGUGAGAAUUGAAUUUUAUAAUUAACACAAGGUGCUUAAAAUACUGAGCAUACAAUGUUCCGCAAAUGUUAGCAUAAAGGGGGGGAAGCACUAUCUAGACUCAUGUGUCGAGCCAUGUGUAUAAUGUAAGAACUCCUUUUUUCUACUAGUACCAAGUGGGAAAAGGUAUCUCUUCUUCCUCAGGAGUUAGGAAGGAACAAGCUAUUGGUAAGAUUUAGACGGAAGAGAAAAGACUAGAUGGGCACUAGAAUAUAGCAGUCAAACUCUGGUAUUUUCUAGUUAUGUUUGAUACACUGACCCUAAGUCAUCACAAAUUCUAGAGUAGACAGCCUGAGUUAUGUGUAUAUUUUGGAUAUGACAUUUCAUUGAUAAUACUUUAUUCUUCUAGUAUUUCUGAUAUUAUAAAGAAAGCAUAUAAAAUGGGUUAUCAUGUCCCCAAAGUGAUUUGCAGAGAAAAAUGGUGCUUAUUUAACAAUCUAGUCUUUGCUCUCCCUUGGAAAUGGAUUUUUAUGCUUCUUGUUGUUUCUUGUACCUUCUGCUUUUAAUGAAUAUUCCCUGUGUUAGUUUGCUAGGGCUGCUAUAACAAAGUACCGCAAACAGAGUACUUAAGCAAUAGCUAUUCAUUGUCUCAUAGUUCUGAAGGCUAGACAUCCAAGAUAAAGGUGUCAGCAGCAUUGUUUCUUUAUGAGAGCUAUCAGAAAUAAUCUGUUUCAUGCUUCUGGUGGUUUGAUGUCAAUCUUUGGUAUUUUUCAGCCUGUAGAAGCAUUACCAAGAUCUCCACCUUUAUCUUCACAUGGUGUUCUUCCUGUGGGUAACCAUACUGUAGUUUGAAUGUGUCCCUCAAAAGUUCAUAUGUUGAAAUUUUGGUCCCCAGUGCAGCAGUGUUGAGAUGUGGGACCUUUG